AGAGAGUAGACAGUCUUGUCUUGUUAUUGAUUUUAAUGGAAUUGUUUUGAGUUUCUCUUCAUUUAAUUUGAUGUUGGCUAUAGGCUUGCUGUAAGUUUUCUUUAUUAUGUUUAGUUAUGUCCCUUGUGUGUCUGAUCUCCUUAAGACUUUUAUCAUGACUUGGUGUUGGAUUUUUGUCAAAGGCUUUAUUGGUAUCUAAUGAGAUGAUCCUGUGUUUUAUUGUUUGUCUGUUUGUUUCCUGUCUGUUUAUUUAUAUGGUGGAUUACAUCUACUGAUUUUUGAAUAUUGAACCAUCUCUGCAUCUCUGGGAUGAAGCCUACUCUAACAUUGUGGGUGAUCUUGUUCUCUGUUCUUGAAUUAAGUGUAAAAGUAUUUUAUUGAGUAUUUUUGCCUUUAUGUUCAUGAAGGAUAUUGGUCUGUAAUAGCCUUUCUUUGUUGAAUAUUUAUAUGCUUUGCAUAUCAGGGUAAUUGUGGUUUCAUAAAAUGAAUUGGUAAUGUUUCUUCUGUUUUUGUUUUUUAGAAUACUUUGAACAGUUUUUGUGAUAAAGCUUCUU
rnacentral:lncRNA from 1 species